rnacentral:lncRNA from 1 species
AUUUUAGUGUCCUCUUCAGAGGUGAUCAGUCUCUGUUCUGUGGGAGACUACUCCAGGACCCUAGAGGACACUGCAGCCUCAGAGGCUCAAGUCCCUUAUACAAGGUGGCAUAGUGUUUGCAACCUUCCCAUGGACUUCGAAUCAUCUCUAGAUGACUUAGAGUGCCUAAUGAAAUGCAAAUACUGGGUAAAUUGCUAUGCCGCAUUAUUUGGGGGAAAGGUAUUGUGUAUGUGCUCAGCACGGAGCAUAGUUCUCUCCUGAGUGGUUCUGUGGCUGGCUGGCUGCUCACACAGCAGUGUGGCUAUGUGCGGUUUUGUCCUUUGUUCGGCUCCAUGGUGCGUUGGGCGGGGGCCAUGCUCUGAAACCAUCAACCCUGCACCCAGUGCUCAGAGGCUCCCGUCCACUCUUCAUCCUUGUAAAGUGCAGCUAGGCUUAAGCCAGGGCUGGUCUCAUCCAGUCUCCUCCCCUCGGGACUCUGCCACUUCUGUGCCUGGGUUACUGAGCAGGGAAGUGUGGAAGUAGCCCAUAAGCACCCAGCCCAGGAUGGCACAUGCCUAUGACCCUGAGAUCACAGGCAAGGGGCCUGGUGUGCCUGGAAAGCAGAGGUGACCAGACACACCCUGUGUGAGGUGUGGCGUGGGGAAGACACCUGUCGGGUCUGGGACCACCUCUGCUCCCCGGCUUGGGAGGAAGUGGCAGGAGUGGCUGCCUGGGGCUGCAGCAGUGCUCCUAUGCCUGUCCCCGUUUUCCAGUCUCAGGCCUGGGAGGUACUGGGAGGUGCUGAGAGUGACUGAGAGAUCACCUGAGGCGGUUCUGGAGGAGAUGCCCUCCUCUUCCCUGAUUGGACCCCACCGGCCUCAGCAUCCUAGGCAGAGGGACAGAUCCCUGGGCCUUAGGCCACCAUGGGCUCAAAGCCAAGACAGGCCCUGGGUCAGUGCCAGAGGGCUCCUGUGGGCUCCCGCAGGC